UGCGUAGGCGGUUUUGUAAGUCUUAUGUGAAAUCUAUGGGCUCAACUCAUAGACUGCAUGAGAAACUGCAGGGCUUGAGUGUGGGAGAGGUGAGUGGAAUUUCCGGUGUAGCGGUGAAAUGCGUAGAUAUCGGAAGGAACACCUGUGGCGAAAGCGGCUCACUGGACCACAACUGACGCUGAUGCACGAAAGCGUAGGGGAGACAAACA
rnacentral:rRNA from 1 species